rnacentral:lncRNA from 1 species
AAAAUACAUAUCAUUCUUUGUUCUUAUACAGUUCUAAUGUAGGCGACUGAUACAUGACAUUCACGUACAUUGUUGUUCAAUUCGUGUCAAAACUUAUGUUAAAACAUUGCACAUGUUGCAAUGGAGCUAAUUUUAGUGAUGUUUUGUAAAUAAAAUGUUACAUUUUCCUCCAUACUUUAAUGUCUGUGCAUACAUAUUUUUGAAAUAGAAUCGCCG